rnacentral:rRNA from 1 species
AUUAGAUAGUUGGUGAGGUAACGGCUCACCAAGUCUUCGAUGGAUAGGGGUUCUGAGAGGAAGGUCCCCCACAUUGGUACUGAGACACGGACCAAACUCCUACGGGAGGCAGCAGUGAGGAAUAUUGGUCAAUGGGCGAGAGCCUGAACCAGCCAAGUAGCGUGAAGGAUGAAGGUCCUAUGGAUUGUAAACUUCUUUUAUAGUAGAAUAAAGUGACCCACGUGUGGGUUUUUGUAUGUAUACUAUGAAUAAGGAUCGGCUAACUCCGUGCCAGCAGCCGCGGUAAUACGGAGGAUCCGAGCGUUAUCCGGAUUUAUUGGGUUUAAAGGGUGCGUAGGCGGAAUAAUAAGUCAGUUGUGAAAGUUUGCGGCUCAACCGUAAAAUUGCAGUUGAUACUGUUAUUCUUGAGUGUACAUAAGGUAGGCGGAAUUCGUGGUGUAGCGGUGAAAUGCUUAGAUAUCACGAAGAACUCCAAUUGCGAAGGCAGCUUACCGGGGUACAACUGACGCUGAGGCACGAAAGUGUGGGUAUCAAACAGGAUUAGAUACCCUGGUAGUCCACACUGUAAAC